UCAGUUUUGGAGGCUAAUUCGGUUACAUACAGACUUAACCUCCAUCUCUGAUUUUAAUUCUCUUUUUUGUUGUUUUGGCAGUGUUCUUGCCUGUUCUAAAAACAUGUUCUUUUGUUCUAACUACUGUUAAGGUUUGAAUAUACCAGUGGUGAGGCUCUGCCGCAGCCUCCAACAACAUCGGCUCCUGUGUGUAGGCCUUCUUCACAGGGUGAAGGCUUUGCACCACCUCACGCAGCACAAUCAGCACCCACACCUGCACCAAUGCCGUCUGCACUGACUGAAACCCCUGUUCCCAGCUACUUGAAGAAAAAAAUUAUGCCACAGCCUUCACCAGCAUCACAUGC